UGACAUUAAAAUGUAGACCUUACCCUUUUCUGUUAAUUCAAUGAUUCUACCAACAAAUAACCAGUGAUUUUAACACCUUUUCUUUAGGUCACCCCUGCAUAUAUAGAUCUCCUUUGCUUGUGGCCUUGAUGAUAACCAUUAUUUCUAUUGUUAUACUCAUAUUACUCAUCUUCUGUUUGUACAGAAAAAAUAGAGAUGCACAAUUAGACUUGGAUGGUAUGUGGCUGAAUGACAUGACUAUGAUCCUGAGCAUGCUGAUGGUGUUCGUGGUCAUGCUCAUUACUUUUAUUUUCUUCAUACUAAGAGGAGCACAGAACCACACACAGCACCAAGGAUAGAGAAUCUACAGUGCAACUAUGUGCUGUUUUAUCACAGAAGAAAAUAACUAUGUGAUCACAGAAUUUUGAAUAUGACCAAGUAUUUGACAUUAUGGGUGUGAAGAUGUAUCUGGCUAUUCAAGUUCAAAUAUUUGUGGCUCCUGUGAACAGUAACCUUCUAAAAGCUGUAAAUAAAUCAGAGCAGGUGGUAGAGUAAUAACAAGGAUAAAAACCAAUAAUCCACAUGGUGGAAAUGGUAAUAAUUUUAAGAAAAUAAAAGGAAUUUUUAUUAACAGUUAAA